GCAGGGAGCUGCUCAUGGCGCGCAGCUUCCCGGAUCCGAUUCUGGCGCGGCCUGAGCUCCACGGCAGGUGGCCCGGCCCUGCAGGGACCCCAGCACCUCCGGGGGCCUCGCGGGAAUUGAGGACGAGCCUCUGGCGUUGGGUGAACCUGGGCGUUUGGUCGGCAACGGCGCCUGCCUGUGGGAGGGGCACCCGAGCAGGGACCGCCUCGAGUGCACUGGGGCCCAGCUAGGGCACUCUCGCGGGACAAUGGGUGUCACGGCAGCCAGCGACCGUUUGUCAUUCACAGCUGCCUGAAAGGAGGACCGCAGUAUUCCCACGCAGGAAGCUUGGACCAAAAGCAGGAAUGCUUAAGGGCGCAUAUGACUUGCCAUGGUAAAAAACAGGAUGCCAACCCAGGCCUGAUGACAUCCACCUCACUAAAAGCUAAGGACUAGGACUUUCUGCUUUAAACAAGGACCCACAUGUGGGUGUUUUCUGUGGGAGAGGGAGAGAGGACAUUCGAAGGGCAGAAGUCUGACCUUUGCAAGCACACGUGAACCACACCAAUGAGAAAUGAAUGGACGAGCCAGAUGCCAAUUUAUAAAUUUCCUACUGCACACCUUGAAUGUGAAAGUACAUGUGGCCGACAAAGAGAAGGGAAGAUGGAGCCGCCAUCUUCAACAGGAGUGGCACAACUGUCGGAUCUAUGUCUGCAGCUGGAUUUUACAGGCUGCUCUUCGUUAGAAAGGAAAACUUUACGGAGGACUUCCAUGCCUUCACUAUCUGCCUAAGUAAAUUCUUCUUAACUCCUGUACCAGUCUCAGCCUCAUUUUGUCCAGCCCCU
rnacentral:lncRNA from 10 species